rnacentral:rRNA from 1 species
GAGGAAAGAGGGAGGCGUGCCUAAUACAUGCAAGUCGAGCGAACGGACGAGAAGCUUGCUUCUCUGAUGUUAGCGGCGGACGGGUGAGUAACACGUGGAUAGCCUACCUAUAAGACUGGGGUAACUUCGGGAGACCGGAUCUAAUACCGGAUAAUAUUUUGAACCGCAUGGUUCAAAAGUGAAAGACGGUCUUUCUGUCACUAAUAGAUGGAUCCGCGCUGCAUUAGCUAGUUGGUAAGGUAACGGCUUACCAAGGCAACGAUGCAUAGCCGACCUGAGAGGGUGAUCGGCCACACUGGAACUGAGACACGGUCCAGACUCCUACGGGAGGCAGCAGUAGGGAAUCUUACGCAAUGGGCGAAAGCCUGACGGAGCCACGCCGCGUGAGUGAUGAAGGUCUUCGGAUCGUAAAACUCUGUUAUUAGGGAAGAACAUAUGUGUAAGUAACUGUGCACAUCUUGACGGUACCUAAUCAGAAAGCCACGGCUAACUACGUG